rnacentral:rRNA from 1 species
GACGAACGCUGGCGGCGUGCCUAAUACAUGCAAGUAGGACGCAGUUGCGAACGGGUUAGUAACGCGUCGGUAACUGCCUAUUAGAGGGGGAUAACUAUUGGAAACGAUAGCUAAUACCGCAUACUAGUAGAUGGACCUGCGUUGUAUUAGCUAGUAGGUAGGGUAAUGGCCUACCUAGGCGACGAUACAUAGCCGACCGGAGAGGGUGAUCGGCCACACUGGGACUGGGAAACGGCCCAGACUCCUACGGGAGGCAGCAGGAGGGAAUCUGCGGCAAUGGGGGGAACCCUGACCGAGCAACGCCGCGUGAGUGAAGAAGGUUUUCGGAUCGUAAAGCUCUGUUGUUAAGGAAGCGGUACUUAACCAGAAAGGGACGGCUAACUACGUGCCAGCAGCCGCGGUAAUUC